rnacentral:sRNA from 1 species
AAUGGGGUUUUCACUCCCAAACCCUAUGUGAACUUACCACUUGUUGCUUCGGCGCGCGCUUCGGCGCCGCCGAGGACACUUAAACUCUUUGUUUUUAUAAGCAUUUCUGAGUGGCCGAAAGGCAAAAAUACAAAUGAAUCAAAACUUUCAACAACGGAUCUCUUGGUUCUGGCAUCGAUGAAGAACGCAGCGAAAUGCGAUAAGUAAUGUGAAUUGCAGAAUUCAGUGAAUCAUCGAAUCUUUGAACGCACAUUGCGCCCGCCAGCAUUCUGGCGGGCAUGCCUGUUCGAGCGUCAUUUCAACCCUCGAGCCCGACUCUUCGGAGGACGGCUCGGCGUUGGGGGACGGCAGACUCCCCCCGGCAUCUCGCCGGGGACGCCGCCCCCGAAAUUUAGUGGCGGCCCUCCGAGGCGACCUCUGCGUAGUAACUUGUUCUCGCACCGGAAAGCUCAGAGCGGCCACGCCGUAAAACCCCAACUUUUUUUAGG